rnacentral:lncRNA from 1 species
CCGGGUCGAACCCGAUACCGAUACCAAAAGUAUAUUCACCUGUUACCUAUUACCUUAUCUGUACGUUCCGCAUCUGACAGGCGCACCACCACACGGUAUAUUUAGGAUUUUGCUAUAUACACGGGUCAUAAUCACAGGGUUGACACUACUAAAUUCAAUCAUUGUCAAAUUGUUCCCUAUUGUAGUAUUUUAAUCAGUAAGACUUUCUAAGAUAACAAUACGAAUACUAAAAAUCUGGACUUAAAAUAAGGCGUAUAGGUACAGUUUUCAAUUUGUUAGCGGGCAUGACGUAAAACAGCGAAUAAAAGAUUUAAAAUCCAUUCCAG